rnacentral:lncRNA from 1 species
UUUUUUCUUUUCUUUUUUCAUCCUUGCCUGGAUCAUGAUGGAUUGAAUCCUCAUUGCCAGGCUUAGCAGAAGCCAAACUGUAAGCUCCCUUCUAGUACAACACAUACAGUAACAAUGUUUUAGGUUUGAGCUGGAACUUGAAUAUUCUUGAUUUAUUAAAAAAAAAAAAAAAGGAAAAGGAAAAGAAGAAGGAAGUCGUUGACUUAAAGAUGAACUGGAACUUUAUUUUCAGACCAAAUAAUAAAAAGAAAUCAGUCCCCUCAGUUUUUCUUUGCUUUAUUUCUUUUUUGGGGUGUGACUUCAUUAUUAAAUAAAACCACUUUAUACAGGAAACAAAACCCAUGUACAAAUGACUGAAAUAAACAGAGCAAGAUUUAUCCUGUAUCUCUCUUUUUUUUAACCUAAGGAAUUGUUUCUGAGAGAUCUGAAGACUUAAACAUGAGUCCUAAAAUAACCAGCAAGCAAUUCUGCAAAAAAGAAACCAAAAUAAAUACAUCUUCUUAGAAGUCAGUUAUAAUUUCCCUUCUGACUUUUUUUUUCUCUUUUGCUUACAUACUCUUUAACCCCUAUCCUUUUCUGUCCCCAUUCCACCUCCUUUGGAGCCAAGGAUCUGGAAAAAAAGUUGCCUGGUAAGGCAUCUGGUCUUCCCUUUCCUUGGCAGCUGACAUUACCACUUGAAAUAUUUCUUAUAUAGAAAACUUCAGGAGACUUGUGAAUUAAUGCCUUAGGAUGACAGUGCUCCUUAAGAAACCUUUAAAUAAUUGCUGCUAAUAGGUUUGGUUUUGUGGUAGAUUUAAUGUAUUAGAAAGAAAUUGUAUUCAAAUUUGAGAACAACUCAAGAUUGACCUGAUUUCCCUUGGUUUCUUUUCAAAAGAAUGGGUAGUUUGCUUCCUAGAAAAUUUAUAUUUUUCUUACAUUAGUGGAAUUUUAGGUUAUACUUGAUAUUUAGCUAUGAGCCUAUCCCUGAUGCCAUGAUCUUCAUGGCCAAUAUGGACAAAUUAAGCCUUAUGUUUAAUUAUUCUCAAGUUAUAAAUUUAGAGGGCUUGAUGUCUCCAUGAUAGGAUGAUCUUACUUUCUGAUUUCAGCUUGCAAUCGUCAAGCCAGAUUUUUGUCUGAAGCUUGUAGUCUUGAUGAGUUCUUCUGUUUUUCUGAUGAUCUGUGUUUUUCUCCCUUUUGAGACCAGUGAUGUCUGACCACUGGUUCACAAGGUCAGGUUCUAAUUCUUGCUUCUAAUACCAGUUCCUGAUUUGUAGUUAUUUCUCUGUGUAAACUGGGUAAUGCAAUGUACCUUACUGAAGGUGGAAAAAAUUGAGAAGAAAUUAGCUUCUGGUCAAGCCCUUGAUACUUCCUUUUCGGAGGACCUUUACAAGUAGGUUUAUUUCUGAGUUCGUAAGUUAGAUAAUUAGCUUCAUUAAGAGAUCAGGAAAUUCAAUUUUUUUUUGGUUUAUGGAUGGAAGAAACAGUGAUAUUUCAGAAAUAAACACUUAUUCUUUUUCUUGAAUAUUUCCAGCUUUCCCCCCACAGUCCUAGUCAAAAUUGAGGAGAGCGUUUUUAAAAUAAGCUUUUUAAUCUUAGAAUAGUUUUAGAUUUAUGGAAGAUUUAGAAAAACAUUAUAGAGAGUUCUUCUAUAUCUGGCAGCCACCUUUCCCUAUUGUUAACAUUACUCUGGUAUCAUAAUCACAGCUAAUGACCCGAUAUGGAGAUGUUAUUAUUAACUAAAGUCUGUGCUUUAUUUGGAUUUCCUUAGGUUCACCCUAAUGUUCUUUUUCUGUUCUAGGAUCCCGUUAGGAUGCCACAUUAUAUUUAUUUAUUUAUUUUCUUUGUUCAUUUGUUUCUUUUUUUUUUUUCUUUUUAGGGCCAUACAUGCUGCAUAUGGAAGUUCCCAGGCUAGGGGUUGAAUCAGAGCUGGAGCUGCUGGCCUACACCACAGUCAUAGCAACACUGGAUCUGAGCUGCAUCUGCAGCCUAUGCCGCAGCUUUCGGCAAUGCCGGAUCCUAAACCCCCUGAAUGAGGCCACGCAUUCUCACAGAGACUAUGUUGAGUUCUUAACCCACUGAGCCACAAUGGGAAAUCCCCACAUUACCUUUAGUCCUUGCAUCUCCUUAGGAUAUUCUAGGCUGUGACAGUCUCUCAGACUUUCCCUGAUUUUGAUGAUUGUGGCAGUUUUGAGGAAUAUUGGUCAGAUAUUUUGUAGAGUGUCCCUCAGUUUGAGUUGGUCUGAUAUUUUCCUCCUGACUAUAUUGGAGUUACAGGUCUUUAGGAGGAAUAAAAGUGCCUUUUUCAACACGUGAUAUUGUGUACAUUCUAUUAAAAUCACUUAUGCUUGUUGCCAUGGUUAUCACCUGGCUAAGGUAGUAUUUCUCAAGUUUCUCCACUGUAAAAUUACUCUUUGUUCUCUCUUUCAAUACUGUUCUCUUUUGGAAGCCACGAGUGUACGUCCUGCACUUAAAGGAUAGGGAGUUAUGCUCUACUUCCUUGAAGGUGGAGUAUCUGUGUAAAUUAUUAGGAAUUUCUCUGCAUGGGAGAUUUGCCUAUUCUUUUCCUGAUAUUUAUUUAAUAUCAUAUCAGACUCAAAGUGCUUAUUCUAUACUUUGGGUUUUAAUCCAGUAUUAUGUUAUUGUAUUGCUCAAGUUGUUCCAAUUUGGCCUUUGGGUGCUCUUCCAGUUGGCUUCUAUGUCCCCUUGACAUCAUCCCUUCAUUGUGGGUUUUUGGUUUUUUGGGUACUUCCCUACUUUCUAAUGCCACAAGUUGCUUCAGGCUUAUCUUUUAUUCCCAGCUUCAACCCUAGAAUCAUUCUAUUCGCCAAGUCUUGAUUCUUUUUAUGGAAGAUGAUAUCAGAAACUGUAAUCUGAGUUUGGAGUGGUAGAACACACUUUUGACAUUGAUAAAUUUCCUCUAAUUCCUCUAAUCAUACUAUCACUAUGAAUUGUUAUCUUUUCUGUGAUGAGGAGAUAGUAUAAUUUUUGCACAUAUAUAUGUAUAAAUAGGUGCUUUAAAUAUUUUAAUAAGACAUGUAAGGUUAAAAAAAAGUAAAGAAAAUAAUGAAAUAGACUUCUGUCUAUCCCAAUCCAGCUUAAGACAGAAGAUUUUUCAGGUACUACUCCCUUCUUCCCUUGACAAAUGUAGCAAUGAUCUUAAAUUUUUAUAUUUUACUAAUUUUGCAUGCAACCUUAAACUAUAUGUUGUAUUGUUUUUUAUAUUUUUAACUUUAGAUAAAUGUUCACAUACCAUAUAGUUUCACCCUUUUUUCUGCUUGACUAUAUAUUUCUGAUAUUUUUCCAUGUUGUUAUUAGUUUAUUCAUUUUCAUCACUAUAAUUCAAUUUAUGAAAAUAGUAUGAUUUUUUCAUUUAUUCUCUUUUUGAUGAUGCUCAUUACAGUUGUUCCUGAUUCUUUUUAUAAUACAAAUACUGUACAUAGUGAAGACAAAUUUUUUUGAUGUGUUGAAAGUUUUUGAUUUGUAGGCAUAGCUUGGUUUCUCUCCCCGCCCCGCUCCCCCAGCUCUGUUGGAGAUACAGCUCUGACCCUCAUCCACCCAGGAGUGUUCUGUUCCCUAGAACAGCCUUGGGGAAAAAUUCUUACUUUGAAUGAAUAUACCAAAGUAUCUUCUCAUUGUUGCUAUUAUUAAGCAUAUGUGCAAUGUUGAUAAUGCAUUACUGAUUUCAUGAUUUCUACAUUAUUCUGAUCUAAGUAGUCUUGUUAAAAUGAGAUCCUUUGUAUUGACAGUUUUUUUUUCAUUCAUUUAAAUAUGCAGAUAAAAUGGUGGUCAAGUCAAUCUUGACAGUUAAAUUGCUUACCUUUAUAGUCCAUCUUUUUUUUCAGCUCUUAUACUGUAAACAAUUAUCCUUUUUUUGCAACCUAUUUGGUGCUACGAUUUUUGCUUUUUUGUUGGUGAUUUUGAUGUUUCUAGUGGCCCCCAAGCCUAGUGUUGAAGUGCUGUCUAGUAUUCCUGAUGCAAGAAGGCUGUGGUUUGCCUUAUGGAGAAAAUAUGUCUUAGAUAAGCUCUGUCCAGGCACGAGUUGUGGUGCUGUCUGCCACAAGUUCAGUGUUAAUGAAUCAACAAUAUAUGUUAAAUUAGGUGUCUUUUAACACCUAUCAUACAUAAAAUAAGAUUGUGUAUUGAUUGGUUGACAAAAAGAUUGUGACCAAGGGGACUUAAUAUUAUAUUUUCCCUGGAGGCAGUGGUUUAGUGUUCACUAAUUCAGUGUUCUCAGUGAUGUAAUAGACCACUUUAAAGAAUCAGCUGUAUAGUUUAUAAUAGAAAAUAUCAGAAUUCAUUUCACAUUGUAGUUAAAAGUUCUACUAUGUGAUGUUUUGUUUCAUAUAUAUGUAUGUAUGUGAAUACAUAUGUCUAUGGGGUCUGAGUAAUUCUAUUAAAUUAUAUAAAAUAGAUUUCUUACUCUUGGUCAUGGUAGAAUGUUUCAAGCCACUGAUCUGUGAUAAUUUUGGGUGAUAGAAUUUAAGUUUUCCAGGACUGAAGAUUGUGUACAUCAGUGAAACUAGAGGUCAGGUAGGUUGAUUUAUAUAAAUCAUUUAGCAUUGAAAAGUUCUAAAUAAUUUUCUAUAAAUAAUAGCUCCCUUUUCAAGAGAUCCAGGAAAAUUAUUAAAUCUACCAACUGUCCUCAAUUCAGCUAAAUUUCUUUGGGACCUUCAGCAGCUCAGGCUGGUAUGUCUUAAAGCUUCUAAUUUUUUUUUCUUUCUUUUUUUUUUUUUAUAGGGCCGCACCUACUGCAUAUGGAGGUUCCCAGGCUAGGGGUUGAAUGGGAGCUGUAGCUGCUGGCUUGCAACCUACACCACAGCUCAUGGCAACACCGGAUCCUUAACCCACUGAGCGAGGCCAGGGAUUGAACCCAUGUCCUCAUGGAUACUAGUUGGAUUUGUUUCUGCUGAGCCACGAUGGGAACGCCAAAGCUUCUAAUUUUUUUUUUUUUAUAAUUAAGUUUUUAUUAUUUAUUUAUUUAUUUAUUUAUUUAUUUUUGUCUUUUUUCCAUUUCUUGGGCACAUGGAGGUUCCCAGGCUAGGGGUCAAAUCAGAGCUGUAGCCACCGGCCUACGCCAGAGCCACAGCAACUCGGGAUCCGAGCUGCGUCUGCGACCUACACCACACCUCACGGCAACACCGGAUCGUUAACAAGGGCGGGGAUCGAACCGGCAAUCUCAUGGUUCCUAGUCGGAUUCGUUAACCACUGCGCCACCACGGGAACUCCCAAACCUUCUAAAUUUCUUAAGUGUCAGGGUCACACCAGGAUUUCACUGAAGUUCUGAGUGUCAAAGGGACAUACAGUUCUCUUGGGAGGAGCUAGAAAGAGUCUUUCCAGUUGGUUACUUGUGCAUGGAUACAACCCUAGAAAAAUACAAUCAAGGAAAAGAGAAUGGGAAGAUUAUAUGAGCCUCUUAGAAAACAAGUCUAUUUGAUGUUAAUCAUUGGCCAUGCUCUGGUGAGAUUGCUAGUGAGUGUUUGGAGAAUAUCAAAUGUUAUUCAACAGUUGGAAUCAAUGAAACUUAAAUUAUUCAAACAUUCUUUGGAUCUCAUCAUUGAAUCUCAUGUUUCCUUAUUAUCUCCUCUUUAAUAUCCAAUAUUAAUAUUUAUUAAAAGAGGUUUUGUUGUAAACCACUACAAUAGAAAAUCUAAUGUCUUUAGAUUGCCCUAAUAAAGACUGAAAAAUAAUCUCUAAAACUGGCAUUGUGGAUAUAAUGGGAACAGACAUGACUUGAAAUUUGUAUGUGAUCAGUUGCAUACUAUUAUAUUACCUAGACUUGCUUUAUUCAAAAUGUGUUUCAGCCCAUCAGAAAAGCAAUGCCAAAAUAUUAACAAUGCAAGCUUUUGCAGGCUUGUUUCAUUGCAUUACAUUGUAUCAUCUUUGGCUUCAUCUUUAAAGUUUAGUUUUUAUGUUUAUUCUUAGGUAGAAAAUUCUUUCCCUGAAGGAAUGUCAUUCACACCAUCAGUGAAUAGGUGCUAAGGGAUGCAGUAGACCCUCUCUAAAUUAUAUUAGCCAGUUUUAUUGCUCUUUCUGCAGAAAUUCCUGCACAUCCUCUGGUGCUGAUUGGCCCUUGAUGAGCUUUGGUUCUUAAUUGGUCUUCACUAAGACAGGGAAAAGUCCACUUUAAUGCUGUUUUAACAUUAGAUUGUAGUCCAGAGUCCUUGCAGUCUAGUGAAAAAAAAAAAAA